GGAGCUUGCUCCUCUGACGUUAGCGGCGGACGGGUGAGUAACACGUGGAUAACCUACCUAUAAGACUGGGAUAACUUCGGGAAACCGGAGCUAAUACCGGAUAAUAUAUUGAACCGCAUGGUUCAAUAGUGAAAGACGGUUUUGCUGUCACUUAUAGAUGGAUCCGCGCCGCAUUAGCUAGUUGGUAAGGUAACGGCUUACCAAGGCAACGAUGCGUAGCCGACCUGAGAGGGUGAUCGGCCACACUGGAACUGAGACACGGUCCAGACUCCUACGGGAGGCAGCAGUAGGGAAUCUUCCGCAAUGGGCGAAAGCCUGACGGAGCAACGCCGCGUGAGUGAUGAAGGUCUUCGGAUCGUAAAACUCUGUUAUUAGGGAAGAACAAAUGUGUAAGUAACUAUGCACGUCUUGACGGUACCUAAUCAGAAAGCCACGGCUAACUACGUGCCAGCAGCCGCGGUAAUACGUAGGUGGCAAGCGUUAUCCGGAAUUAUUGGGCGUAAAGCGCGCGUAGGCGGUUUUUUAAGUCUGAUGUGAAAGCCCACGGCUCAACCGUGGAGGAUCAUUGGAAACUGGAAAACUUGAGUGCAGAAGAGGAAAGUGGAAUUCCAUGUGUAGCGGUGAAAUGCGCAGAGAUAUGGAGGAACACCAGUGGCGAAGGCGACUUUCUGGUCUGUAACUGACGCUGAUGUGCGAAAGCGUGGGGAUCAAACAGGAUUAGAUACCCUGGUAGUCCACGCCGUAAACGAUGAGUGCUAAGUGUUAGGGGGUUUCCGCCCCUUAGUGCUGCAGCUAACGCAUUAAGCACUCCGCCUGGGGAGUACGACCGC
rnacentral:rRNA from 1 species